GGGGCCAUAGCUCAGCUGGGAGAGCGCCUGCCUUGCACGCAGGAGGUCAGGAGUUCGAUCCUCCUUGGCUCCACCA
rnacentral:tRNA from 39 species